rnacentral:rRNA from 1 species
UUAGGUGGCUAUUGCGACAGGGCUCCACCUCUUCCCAUUCCGAACAGAGAAGUUAAACCUGUCUGCGCCGAUGGUACUGCAUUGUGGGAGAGUAGGUCGCCGCCAAAC